AACGAACGCUGGCGGCGUGGAUAAGACAUGCAAGUCGAACGGGACUUUUUCUGGUAGCAAUACCGGAAAAGUCUAGUGGCGAACGGGUGCGUAACACGUGGACAAUCUGCCUUAAAGUGGGGGGAUAGCUCGGCGAAAGCCGAAUUAAUACCGCAUGUGAUGAGGGAAGACAUCUUUACCGAAAUACAAAGCCGGGGCAACCUGGCGUCUUUUGAGGAGUCCGCGGCCUAUCAGCUUGUUGGUGAGGUAACGGCUCACCAAGGCUAUGACGGGUAGCUGGUCUGAGAGGACGACCAGUCACACUGGAACUGAGACACGGUCCAGACACCUACGGGUGGCAGCAGUCGAGUAAUUUUUCUCAAGU
rnacentral:rRNA from 1 species